UACGUAGGGUGCGAGCGUUUGUCCGGAAUUAUUGGGCGUAAAGAGCUCGUAGGCGGUGUGUCGCGUCGGCCGUGAAAACCCGGGGCUCAACUCCGGGCUUGCAUUCGAUACGGGCAGGCUAGAGUUCGGUAGGGGAGUCUGGAAUUCCUGGUGUAGCGGUGAAAUGCGCAGAUAUCAGGAGGAACACCGGUGGCGAAGGCGGGACUCUGGGCCGAUACUGACGCUGAGGAGCGAAAGCAUGGGUAGCAAACAGG
rnacentral:rRNA from 1 species